GACGGAGGGGGCUAGCGUUGUUCGGAAUUACUGGGCGUAAAGCGCACGUAGGCGGCCUUUCAAGUUAGAUGUGAAAGCCCCGGGCUUAACCCGGGAAUUGCAUUUGAUACUGUUAGGCUUGAGACCGGGAGAGGAUAGCGGAAUUCCCAGUGUAGAGGUGAAAUUCGUAGAUAUUGGGAAGAACACCAGUGGCGAAGGCGGCUAUCUGGACCGGUACUGACGCUGAGGUGCGAAAGCGUGGGGAGCAAACAGG
rnacentral:rRNA from 1 species